rnacentral:pre_miRNA from 2 species
AGAGGUAGUAGGUUGCAUAGUUUUAGGGCAGGGAUUUUGCCCACAAGGAGUUAACUAUACAACCUGCUGCCUUUC